rnacentral:rRNA from 1 species
UACGAAGGGUGCAAGCGUUAAUCGGAAUUAUUGGGCGUAAAGAGCUCGUAGGCGGUUUGUCGCGUCUGCUGUGAAAACCCGAGGCUCAACCUCGGGCCUGCAGUGGGUACGGGCAGACUAGAGUGCGGUAGGGGAGAUUGGAAUUCCUGGUGUAGCGGUGGAAUGCGCAGAUAUCAGGAGGAACACCGAUGGCGAAGGCAGAUCUCUGGGCCGUAACUGACGCUGAGGAGCGAAAGCGUGGGGAGCGAACAGG